rnacentral:lncRNA from 1 species
UGGAACAUUUGGUCUAGCAUGAUCUAAGGCAAGUUGAUAAGCAUUAUAAAUUGUUUGAGCAUUUAUUUUAAUUGAGGCUUUUGCAUAUCCAAGUGUAGCAAAUUCCUCAACUGAAAGUGAUAAAGCGUUAUAAAUAUUUGAAUACCAAAAGUGAGGACCUCCUAAUUUCAUUGUAGGAUUUAACAUUGCAGCAAUACCAAAAAUAGGGGCGAUAGGGAAAAAAUAUUUUUUAAACUUAGCUUUCAUAGAAUCAAUAGCAAGUUGAUAAAUUACCGCACCCUCUGAAAAUUGAGUAAACAAAUCUGCAAGUGCUGCAAUAUAAACUAAACAGUUAGAAAUAGUAGGAUAAUAUUGCCCAGAUAAUUCAUUUGUAGCAACAUAAAAUUGUUCUAAAAAGUCUACAAACAUUUUAACAUUAGUCCAAUCUUGAUUUGUAAGGUGCUCAUCAUCAUCAUCAUCACCUACACGAGCAUUAUACGUUGCGCUUAUUAGGUUCUUAUAUUCAUAUGCAACAACUAAACUUUCAUACAUGUAAUUCUAUCUAGUCGGACAAGGUUUAGGAACCUUUAUUUCUCUAAGGCCAAAUUCAUCACAUUUUUUAAAUAGUCUCUAAGUCUACUUCUACGGUUUGAAUAAAAAAGCCAAUUAAGAGCCAUUUUAACCUUUUCAAUUUCUAUAUUUAAAACUUUCAUACCAUCAUCGACGAUUAAAUGGUAAAUAUGACAAAUACAUCUAAUAUGAAAAAUAUUACUAAAUGCGGGAUUUAGUGUAGUUGUAAGCAAACCUAUAGCAUUAGUGUUACAAGAAGCAUUAUCCAUUGAAACCGACAUUAUUUUAUCUUUAAUGCAAAAUUAUCUACAAAUAUCUGCAACUGUGUUAGCAAUAAACUUACCUGUGUGGCGUGAAUUAAUUAUUCUAUAAGCAAUAAUGUGCUUUUGCAUUAUCCAGUCCUCAUCUAUCCAAUGACUUGUAACAGUUAGAUAAUCACAGUCAUUACCACUUCUACCAAUAUCAGUUGUAAUAGCAAUACGACAAUCUAUAUGAGUAAAUAAAUAGCACAAAUAUUGUUCAUAUUCAUGUUUGUAUUUAUAAAUAUCGCUCUUUACUGUUGCGCAAGGCCAUCCUUUAUAUGUAGGAUUAAAAACUAUUCUAAUAUAAUGCACAAAAUGAGGGUUAGAAGGAAAACUAUAUGGUAAGCACAUAACAGUAACCAUUUUUGCCAAUUCUUCACGAUUUUUAUUUGGAUCAUAAUAUAAAAUGCCACCGGUAACAGUGUUAAUUCCCAGUUGAACUAGAUUUGACUCUGAACUAGGGUUAACCGUACUAUCUACACUUGUCCCCUCUUGCGUAGCUUUCAUUUGUAAAUAUCUAGCUUUAUCUCUCGGGUGUGUCUUUAUGUGUCUAGUCAAACUACCCGUACCGCUACGGUCUCCAGUAAAUUUAUGAGUCAUCAAAGACCCACAAGUUUUACACUUAGCCUUAUUUUGUUCUCUUAGUUGAGUAAAAAAGUGCCAAACAAGAGAUGUUUCAGGCCGUUUAGAAGGUUGUCUAUUAAAAAGUAGGGGUUACUACAGGAGGGUCAAGUGGGGCAUCAGUUGGGUUAUUAACAGGACUAGUAGGUAGAUCAUCUAAAUCCGGUUGCGUUUCAUCCAAAUCAUCAUUUUCCUCUACAUUUUCAAAGAUAGUUUGAUUAGGAUAAAGAACAUUUAUAACUUUUUCAUUUAAUUGUUGACCAUGAGUAACAUCAUGGCAAAAUUGACUAUCGGAAAAUUGAAAACAAAGGUUAUCACUAUGAAGAAUAACAUGUGGAGGAUGAUGGGUAACAGGUCUGGGUCGGGGAGCCGGGGGAAGAGUAGUAGCUUGGCGACUAGAUUCACCAAUUUUAGAUUUUCCCUUACCCCCAAAUAUAUUUUUCUAAGAAAAGUCCAUAUUAAUUAUAAUUAUAAUAAAUAAAACACACAAAACUAUAAUAUUAAAACUUAAGAGUUGGAUCGAGUUUACCGAAUUGAUGAACAACUUCUUGAAAAUUGAAUAUUGUUGAAGACUUGAAUACUUCAAUUCACCAACUUCACAAUUUUUCACGAAAUUGCAAUAAUAAAGUAAGCAAUUAUAGAAGAAAAUUAGAGAGAGAUUGAUGAAUUUGUGAGUAAAAAUGAAAGAAUGAGGGGGUAUUUAUAGUUGAGAAUAGGAAAAAGGUGUAAUUAUAAAAUGUUUGGGGUUAGAACAAAGUUUGGGGGCCAAAUGACUAUUUUUUAAACUUCCCAACGGCUGAAAUUAAGGGCCAACGGCUACUUUUUAAUUUCUAGCUGUUGGUCUUAUUAAAAAAAAUUAAAAAUAUUACCGUUGGGCCCGUUAGGCCCGGUUGAACCAGCCCAAGCCCGUCUGCCGGUCCCGAGCUAAACGGUCUGGGCUCGCGGUCUAUUUGUGUAGGACCGGCCCAUAGUGGGCCUCAAAGACCGUUUGAGACCGGCCCGUUUGAACCGGACCGUUUGGCCCAUUAGGCUCAUGGUCUCGUGGGCCGGGGCAGUCCUGGGCUGGGCCCGGACCACAAUAUAAUCCUACUUGAAUGGGAUGUGGCAGCAAAUCUUCGUGUGGAGCAGCUUAAUGAACUGGAUGAAUUCCAAUUCCAUACUUACUCCAGUUCGUCCUUGUACAAGGACAAGAUGAAGUACCUUCAUGAUAAAUAUGCUCGUGACAAAGAAUUCAAAGUGGGUGAUUUGGUCCUCUUGUUCAACUCCCGAUUACGUCUGUUUCAGGGAAAGCUUAAGUCAAAAUAGAGUAGAUCUUUGUAGUGGUGUUUGUGACCCCGUUUGGUGCACUUGAAUUGAAGAACAAAAACGGGGAAGUUUUCAGAGUGAAUGGGCACAGGGUCAAGCACUACCUAGAAAAAAUUGAUGACAGCCACGUGGUGGCACUUCUUCAUCUCAAAUGAUUUGAUGGUAACCUGCGUCGUGCCGCGACGUUAAAUCAGGCGCUUCUUGGGAGGCAACCCAUGUGUCUUUCUUCUUGUUUUCUUUGAUUUUCAUUGUAGUGUAGGAUUUAUUUUUGGACUGACUGGUUGUGAGAUACUAUAGGAUUGUGUUGAUGCAGUGCAGGAACAAAUGAAAAAAAUGACCACUCUCUAAAGUUGGCAAUGCGGACCGCACUCAUUUUGUGCGGCCGCAAAGACCUUUGUGCGGGGGCAAGAAAUCAAUGCGGACCGCACUGGUGAUUUGACAAAAGUUAGGACUCUCUGAAGUUUUCCACCGCGGCCGCAUUGCAUUUUGUGCGGUCUGCGGUGGUCCACUACGGCCGCUUUACAUUUUGUGCGGUCCACAGUGGUCAACUUGUCUGUGCCUCAUGAUUCGGAGCACCGCGGACCGCGGUGGGUAGGUAAGCUGGGCCCUAGGACCUUUUUCUAUAAAUAGGACCUAAGGCCCUACAUUUGAACUUUUUGACCCUUUUCAUCUCAUAGGCACAAAAGUUACUGUUCAUCUCUCAAAUCUGCAUGUUAUUAACUUCUAAAGUUCACUAAUCAACUCUGCAUCUCAUUCCUGGUAACGUUAACUCUUCUUAAUAGUUCAAUUCUAUUAUUUUCUUUGAAUUUUUGUUUUUCUUAUUUCUUCUUCUUUCCCUGUCCGUAUUUCUUUCAAGCUUUUGGCAUAGGUUAGUUAAGUUUUGUUUUCAGUAGGUCUAGGUAGUUAAAACAUUGGGCCAACACUUAGGGAAUCAUUAAUAUGUGCAUAAUUGGACAAAAUCGAAAAAAGCGUGAUCCCUAGGUUGAUAUUGCUGCUGGGCACUCAGUGCGGACCGCGGUGGAUUUUGUGCGGUCCGUGGUGCCCUUGUGCGGUCCGCAAUGCUUUUUUAUGUGGAUCGCAAUGAUAAAAGUUCUGAAUUUUGACAUUUGAGGACUGCGGCCGCAUUGGAUUUUGUGCGGUCUGCGGUGCCUCAAUGCGGACCGCAUUGGCAUUUUGUGCGGUCCGCGGUGCAUAGAUUCAGAGAGUGGGUAGUCUGAACCCCACCUCUAUGCGGACCGCAAUGGAUUUUGUGUGGCUCGCGGUGGCCUUUUUGCGGCCGCACUGCAUUUUGUGCGGUCCGCACUCUCCAAUAUUUCAACUGUCUGCAAUAUAUUUUUUUGCAACUUUGAAUUUCAUGGUUUCUAUUGAUACUAACAAAGCAUGGCUGAAUGUUGUUUGCAGACAAUGGUGAAAUCUCGAGGCAAAGGUGGAAAACAAUUAGGAAGAGGAGAGUCCUCCCAGGAUAGGGGACAAGGAAUGAUAAAAUUAACCCUACAAGUCCAACAAAAUAUAAAGAAUACAAGGAGGAUCAUAAGAGUUGCUGACAGAGCCAUUGACCAGUCGGGGAGUGACUAUGAGCCUUCUUGGGAGGCAUCUUCAGGCUCCAUGCCAAAGUAUGUUCCUGACUGGCCGGAGAGGAACAUGUUGAGGGAUACACCUCCAGGGUCUCUCACUACCCAAGCAUCAGUGCGUAUAUCUUCUGAGUCGUCUGAGGGCUCAGCUGCCAGCAGUGGAAAUGAAUACUCCACCUCUCUUACAGCUUCAUUAUCCGGAGAGGGUCCAGUAGUAGAAGAUGGGGAAGAAGUAGAAAGGGGUGAGCCCCAAGUAGGUGGGGUAGAGAGGGCUAGAAAUCCGGAGGCAUGGCAGGACCGGUUUGUAAGUGAGGUUGCCACAAGUUCAGAGAGUGGUGGCCCAAGAGGAAAUUGAUACCUGAGCGUAAAUUUAUCACCCAGGACCUUUUGCCGCACAACCCCAAUGUGCUGAGGCAAUUUAGAGAGAGAGAGAUGGAUGGGACUACUUCAUAGGCCAUGUGAAGGAACCCAAUGAGCAUUUAGUGAAAGAGUUCUACACAAAUGUGGCCCAUAUAAAAAAGGGCACCACAGUCACCAAAGUGCGGAACUUGAAGGUGAAAUUCGAUGGCAAGACCAUAAAUGAUUACCUAGGCUUCUUGGAGGAGGAUGAGUCCUUGUACUUGGAGAAGAUGGCAUUGGGUGGAAGCUCGUCCUUGGUUGGCAAAGUACUUGGAAAUCCCAGGUACCACCACAGAUUGGUUGACUGCGGGAGUGAAGAUUUUGAGGAGAACUUUGAAAUUUGAGGCUAAGGGGUGGGAGACAUUUGUGUGCACCAGGCUAGAGCAAACCACCCAUGACAACUCACUCCCUAUUCACCGGGCAAUUUUGGUAACAUCUAUCAUGGCGUGGUACCUAAUUAACAUCGGGAAUGUGAUGUCCCAGGUUAUUACACUGGUAGUGAAUGAAGGUGACAGAUGUACCUAGAGGACCAAGAUGUGGAAAGCGGAAGUUUGAUAUGAAAGUGAAGGCGAAGGCACCUUUCUCAUCGUAUAGCCUACAGGGUGAUGACAAUCCUAAGGGCAAACACUUCAAGGGCAAAGCCACUACUUCGAUUGGCUAGUCUGAAGAGCCAGUAGUGGUAGUGGCUCCUACUCAGUCUCCUUCCACCUCAGCAGACAUGGCCCAAGGUCCAUCCAUACAGCUCCAAAGAUACCCUCCACCACUACAUACCUAUUAGCUGCCCACCGCCUGAGCCAGGCCCUUGCCAGCAUCAACAAUUGGAUGCAGAUAGCUACUUCUAAGCUGUUUGUACUAUCUACCAUGGUGGCAGCUCAGUCAUAACCUCCUCCUCCACAGGUCCCACAGCCCAUUGAGGACCCUCUCAAGGAUCUUCUGGACAACCAGAAGAAGAUUCUAGAGAACCAGAAAUUGCUUACAGAUGCUGUUGAUUCACAUGGAAAGGCUCUCAAGGAGCUUGCUAGGAAGGCAAAGAAGAUGAGAAAGACUCGGGCUUCCAAAGAGUUGGUGAAGGAGCUACGGGUUGAGGUUGAGAGAUUGAUGGCAGAUCACCUGCCUUUAGAUUUGCUACUGCAUGACCCAGCACCAGCAGCACAGCCCCAGCCAGAGCAGUCUGAGAGGUCUCCUAAGAGGAAUAGGGUGAUCCCCUAGUCUGACGAUGCAGUUAUUCAGUUGGCGGACCCGCCAGGAGAUUCCUCCAGCUGCCCUUAAGAGCCAGUCCAGGCCCAAGUCCCAGUAGAGCCACAGACUACCGAGAGCCAGUCAGAGGUUCCCGAGCAUACAGAGGACCAAGGGACCCAGACUCAGGAUCCCAUGCAAACGGAUGACCCAUAGGGAGUUUCUUCUUCCUCUUUCGUCUAUUGUUGUGCAUAUUUUGCUUAGUUGGCAUUGAGGACAAUGGUAGCUUUCAUUUGAGGGGUUAGCCCUAUUUAGACAUUUGGAUGACUGUACAUAUGACAGAUUUUAUUCUUUCUUUCUUCUUUUUUAUCUUUGGUAUGUAUAUAAUUUCAGCAUUUCAUUACAUUUUUUGUACUUUUUACCUUGGGUUUGUAUAUAAAAGUUACGUUCUUAUGUAUAUAUUUAUCUCCCCUAUUGUAUAUUCGAUUAAAUCCCCUCUUGUACAUAUUCAUUUUACUUUCCGCAUUUUUCCUGUCUUAGCUUCUUAUUUAUGUUUGUAGCUUCUUGUUUUGAAUUUUUGCAAUAAGCUUUUGGUUUUCUUAAUGUCAUGGUUCUUUCCAAAGGUGAAAUUUGUGUGAACCGGGUGGCUCUUCCCAAUGAUGGAUGGCAUGACAACCUUCUUAAGGGUUUGAGUCUGUUUUUCAUUUUGCUUUUUAGUAGUUGGUAAGAGUGCCUCAAGCAAAUCUUCCCUUGGGCCUAACACAUUUGUCAUUGAUCCUAUGGUCAAAAAUAAAUUGUUGUGUGUAGGGUGGUGAAAGUCGUGACCUUGAGACUCUUGUGUUGGUCUAUAAUCAUCAAGUGGUUUUUCGGGACCAUUGUGUGCUCAAAUCUUAUCUAAGGUUGUUGUGGGCCCCCGACUCUAUGUCUUUAGCAAUCCCAUAGCUUGUGUGGUGAGAAAUUGCAUUGUAAGUCCAAGUCUCGAGCCAUUGGUCUAGAACUUGCCCUGAAUGUUUGUCUAGGCGAAAUCCUAUCUGUAAUUUGACUUGAGACAUGAUUAUAGCCUCUUCUUGAUCCAAAAGAUAUCUUGAACACUUCCAUAUCCCACCAAUGAUAAAAUCCCUAGUCAACCCUUUUGAGCCUUAGACCUUUUUCUUUCAAGAACCACGAUACAAGCCCUUACCCAUUCUAAAGAUACCCUCUCUUGGCACCCGAUCUUUCUUUAGCACAUGGAAAAAGUAUAAGUUUGGUUUGAGAGACGAGGAUUGUAAAAAAGUGGUAAAAAGGUACAAAAUGAGAAAAGGAAAGGCAAUGAAAAAGAAAGAAAAAAAAUGUUCAAUAUAGAAAUAAAUGAAGGGAUUCAAUAACAGCAAAGAAUGAAAGGUGUGAAAAGNNNNNNNNNNNNNNNNNNNNNNNUUAUAAAAGAAGUGAAAUGACUUAAAAAGUCAAGUGAAUGUGUGCCAAAAUGAAGCAAAAGAAGUGCUAAAGCGAAGAUGGAACCUACCGAGACCAAACAUUUCCUACCCUGAACCAAAAGCCUUCAUUAUGUCUCCACAAAAGCCCUAUAUGAUCUCGAGUUGAAUGAAGCUUACAUUAGUGGUGACUCAUAUAAGGGGCAAGCAUAUGAUACUUAGAGCCGGACUUGUGACUUUUCUUUAAGAGAGAUGAGCGUAUUUCCAUUAACCUCGUUCUGAGUGCUACUAUCUUAAAGGUGAGGUUUGCUUAGGGAGAGUCGAGGAUGUGUGAGUUUGGGUUCCACAAUGACCAAAGUAAUAGAAAGAGUUUCUUUGAUGUGUUGAGUCAACUCUUGAUACUUUUGUAUCGCACUAAAUCCAUGGUGUUUAAAAGAGUGAAUGUGUUAAUGAUCCAUAUGAAUUAAGUGCAAUUGAUAGUCCCAAUUGAUGUUGGAUGAGGUCACUUUAGGUCAGCUGAAUUUUGUUGGAUUGACUCUUAAGGGGUGGGUCUUAUUUUGUUUGCUUGAGGACAAACAAAAGCUUAAGUUUGGGGGAGUUGAUAACUAGGGAUUAUGAUGCAUUUUACACUCCGUCUUGCUUAAGUUUUGAUUAGAAAUGUGUACAAAAUAGUCCCAAAGGCUCACAUGUUGUACUUGAUUGCAGGGUUUGAUCAACAAGGUGACAAUUUGACAAAAACCAGCUCAAAAAGGAGUGAAACAUGCACAAGUACCAAGACCAAGGCCAAGCUCAGUAAAACAGGACUAGUGCGGCCGUACACCAUUCUGUGCGGUCCGCAAAGAUGAAGUUCAGAGAGUAGGCAUUUCAGGCAACCAAGCAAUGCGGCCGCAAAGUAUUUUGUGCGGACCGCAUUGAUUUCAUUACGGCCGCACUCGACUUUGUGCGGUCCGCAGAGCCCAAGAUCAAAGAGUUGCCAAGUUGGAGGAUGAUGCCCGAUGCGGUCCGCGGUCCAUUUUAUGCGGACCGCAAUUGAAGUCACCACGGCCACGGUGCAUUUUGUGCGGUCCGCGGUAACCAACUUCAGAGAGCAGAUUAGUCAGCUAAGAGCCUUAGUGCGGCCGCGCUCGAUUUUGUACGGUUCGCACUAGCCCUGCAGGGAUAUUUUUGUCCAGAAUUUUCAGCCUAGUAUAAAUAGUUUCUUUUCGCAUUUUUAGGUCAUAAGUUGUAUUUUGGACCGAAGCUUCGCUCAUGAACAGUUCUUAUUUUCUAUUUUGAGUAAUUUUAGCUUAGUUUUAUCAUUGAAUCUUCAAGUUUUAUCUAGUAAUUAGUUAUUAUGGGUUUUUCUUCAUCUAUUUCUUUGUUUUCUAUAAUCAUGAGUAGCUAGACCCAUUAGCUAGGGUUGUGACUCAACUCUAGUGUGGGUAAUUGAUGGGUCUUGUGUUUUAAUGUUGAUUGUCUAUGGGUGUUUGAUAUUUGGACUAAUUUAGGGUUUUAAUGUUGAAUUAGUGGUUGCAAAUACUAGUUUAUGCCUAGUUGACUUUGGCUCUUCUUGAGAAAGAGAGCCUAAGUCUAUAAAAUUGGUCCAACAAGGAAUUGGGGCGUAUUCAAGAGAUUGAUAGCCCUAAUUAAAGGGUUAAACCUAGAGAUAGUAAUAUCCGACUUGAACCUCAAUUGCUUGCACAAAUUAUCAUAUCCAAUUAGUCUUGAGAAAGUCAAUUCGGGCAAAAUCAUUCGAACUACUGAGAGGUAUAGAGUGAGUAGAAUCAUGCAAUAGUUAUAUCAUACUCCCCAAAUAUGACAAUCUAGCCUUAUACUCAAGAAUCCAUCAAUUAGCCACCUAGGAGAAAGUCACUACCCUAUUGCCUUUUAUCUAUUGGGACAAACUUCAAUAUUUUACUCUUAGCUUCACUUAGUCUAAUUGAGCAUCUUAGUAGUAUAAAUUUAGAAUUAAUAUCAAAACCAAAAAUGUUUAGAAGUGUAAUUAGGAAGAAUUACGCAACACCAAUUUAGAUAGAAACUCAACUCCAAUCUCUAGCUCCCUAUGGAAAUCGAUCCCGACCUUCUCGGGUAAAAGUUGCUUCAACCUCUCUAGCUACUUUGUAGUAGUACAGGAUUGGCCUCGAUCAGGCGACAUUCCAAUUGUUUUCUAGUAGUUUUCCCUCUUUUGUUUCAAGUUGGAAUGCCCCUAUGCUUCCCGCCGCUGUAAUUUUAUACGGCCCGUCCCAGUUGGUUCCCAGUUUUCCUUUUUUGGGGUCUUUGGUCGCUUGUGUUUUGUCCUUGAGGACGUAGUCCCCGACUUUGAGCAGUCGUAUUUUGGCCUUCUUGUUGUAGUACCUUUCCGUUUGUUGUUUUUGGGCUACCAUCCUUACAUGAGCCAUAUCUCUCCAUUCUUCUACUUUGUCAAGGUCUUGUAUUCGGUUCUCGUUGUUGUUUGGUCCACUUUCAUUAGAGUAUCCCAGGCUAGGUUCUUCGACUUCAACGAGUAUAAUGGCGUCAGUUCCGUAGACUAAUGAAUAUGGUGUUUCGCCUGUGCUAGUUUUUGGCGUGGUGAGGUAGGCCCAUAAUACCUCCGGUAGCAGUUUCGGCCAUAGCCCUUUGGCGUCAUCGAGCUUUUGCUUUAGUAUAUUCAAUAUUAUUUUGUUGGAGGAUUCUGCUUGACCAUUGCUAGCAGGAUGGUAUGUCAUAGAGAGUAUUCGCUUUAUGCGCCAUUUUUUGAAGAACUCGACCGUCUUUUUUCCGAUGAACUAAGGUCCAUUAUUGCAGCUGAUUUCUUUGGGGAUGCUGAAGCGGCAUAUGAUAUUUUUCCAUAAGAAUGUGAUGACUUCAUGUUCGCGUAUCUGGGAGAACACACCUACUUUCACCCAUUUGGAAAGGUAGUCAGUUAAAACUAAAAGGAAACGUGUCUUACCUCGCCCCGCUGGGAGGGGUCCGACGAUGUCCAUUCCCUAUUUAAUAAACGGCCAUGGUAAAGUGACAGAGUGCAGGAGUUCACCCGCUUGGUGUAUCAUUGGUACGUACUUUUGGCAUUGCUCACAUUUCUUGACGUAAUCAGCAGCUUCCCUUUUCAUAGUAGGCCAGUAAUAUCCUGCCCGAAUGAGGCAUCUGACGAGGGCUCGGUUGCCUAUAUGGGCACCGCAGUGACCCUCAUGUACUUCUUCGACCACAUGCCUUGUUUGAUUCGGUCCUAGACAUUUUGCCAAAGGACCUUCGAACGUCCUUUAGUAAAGGUCGUGAUUUAUGAGGUUGUACGUGGCCGCCUAUAUUCGAAGCUUUUUGGCUUCCUUUUUGUCUUGUGGGAGUGUUCCCUCCGGAAAAUAUGCCAUGAUGCGGUUACGCCAAUCCCAAGUUAAAUUUAUAGAAUGUACCUCAACCUGGUCUAUUGACGAGUGGAGGAGGGUGACCACAUUCUCCUUGGUGAUAUUUUUAGUUGUUGUUGCUAGUUUGGUGAGGCCAUAUGCUUCGAUGUUUUGCACCCGAGGUAUCUGAUCGAGUCGGCAUUCAUCAAAUUCUGGUAGUAGCUUAUGUAUUUCUGCCCGAUAUUUCUGUAUCCUUUGUUCUUUGAUUUGGAAAGUCCUAGUAACUUGGUUAAAGACGAGUUGUGAGUCGCACCUGAGGACAACUUGUUGUGCGCCAUAUUUGAGGGCCGGUUUCAACCCUACAAUUACGGCCUCAUACUCGGCCUCAUUGUUAGUCAUAUCGGGGCACCGUAUGGACUGACAAAUUACUUCGCCUGUUGGUACUUCAAGUACGAGUCCCAGUCCAUAUCCCGAAGCAUUAGAUGUGCCGUCGGUGUAGAGGACCCAGAGGUCGGGUUGCCCAGGGGAGGUGCGAAGCACUUCCUGCUCGACCUCGGACAAUAUUUCAGCGCUAAAGUCGACGACAAAGUCAGCGAUUACCUGUGACUUUAUCGAUGUUCGCGGCUGAUAGGUUAUAUCAUGCUCGCUUAAUUCUAUGGCCUAUUUGGCCAAUCUUCCCAACAAAUCGGGCUUAUGUAAGAUGUUUCUAAGGGGGAAAGUCAUCACCACCGAUAUGGGGUGAUACUAAAAAUAUAGUCUAAGCUUUCGUGAAGCUAUGACCAACACCAGAGCCAGUUUCUCGAGAUGGGGAUACCUCGUUUUGGCGUCCAUCAAGGUUUUGCUGAUAUAAUAAAUCGGGGAUUGUAUACCUUUAUUUUCGCGGACCAGAACUGCGGUUACCAUGACUUAUAAGACAGCCAAGAAGAUCAGGAAGCUUUCGUCGGGAUCUACCUCAGUUAGUAGUGGUGGUGAGGACAAGUACACUUUUAGUUUUCUCAGGGCCUCGAUGCAAUCUGAAUUUCACUGGAGCCCGUUGCCCUUAUUCAACACGUUAAAAAAUUUAUGGCAUUUGUCGUAUGACCGCGAGAUGAACCUCGAUAGGGCGGCUAUCCGGCCUGUCAGUUUUUGUACCUAUUUUUUGCUGGUAAGUAUUUCGGGUAUUCCUUUAUUGGCUUUGAUCUGGUCUGGAUUGACCUUGAUGCCUCUUUUUUAUACCAAGAAAUCGAGGAAUUUACCUGAGGUUACGCCGAAGGCGCACUUUUCGGGAUUUAACUUCAUUCCAUACCACCUUAAUAUGCUGAAUGCCUCUGUAAGGUGGUCAAUGUGGUCCUCUUUCCUUUUGGAUUUGACCAACAUGUCGUCGAUGUAAACCUCCAUCGUCUUGCCGAGUUGGUCUUUAAACAUUUUGGUGACCAACAUUUGGUAUGUCGCUCCCGCAUUCAUUAAUCUAAACGGCAUGACUCUGUAGCAGUACGUUCCCUGAUGGGUGAUGAAAGUGGUUUUUUCCUGGUCUUCCUCCUCCAUGAGGAUUUGGUUGUAACCCGAGUAGGCAUACAAAAAGCUCAGCAGUUCAUGCCCUGUUGUUGCAUUGAUGAGUUGGUCGAUAUGGGGUAGUGGAAAAGAGUCUUUCGGGCAUGCCUUGUUUAGGUCCGUGAAAUCAACGCACAUCCGCCAUUUCCCAUUUUUCUUUUUUACCAUGACCACAUUUGCGACCCACUGGGGAUAUUUUGAUUCUCAGAUAGAUUCGUUGACGAGUAUCUUAUCAACUUCAACACUGACGGCCUCAUUGAUUGCGGCACUGAACUUUCUCCUCAUAUGUCGCACCGGCGGAUAUAGCGGGUCGACAUUCAGCUUAUGCAUAGCAAUAUCUUUCGGAAUGCCCGGCAUAUCUGAAUGGGAGAAGGAAAACAGGUCAACAUUGUUAGUUAAGAAUUUAUGAAAUAUACCUGGUUCUAAGAGAUUGUGUCCGAUAUAAGCCUUUUUGUGUUGUCGUUGCUGUCUAGUUGGACGGGAUCGCGAUCUUAUAUGGUCGACUCAGCGGCCGCUACGAUGUUGGGAUCCUUGAUAACGUCUGUUUGUGCGUCAGGUUUGGUUCCCGAUGUUGUUAAUUGCUAUGCUUCUUCGUUUUCUCCCUUUAGUUGUUGGGUGUGUGCGCAAUCCUGGGCAAUGCGAUAACAUUCUUGUGCGGUGAAUUGUUUGCCUCGUAUGCUGAAUAUUCCCCUUAGAGUGGGGAACUUGAUUACUUGAUAGAGACUUGACGGGAUGGCCUGUAUGGCGUGUAUCCAAGGUCGCCCUAUGAUGGCGUUGUAGUCUGUGUCUUGGUCCAAGAUGUGAAAUGUUGUUUCCAGGGUGACUCCUCCGGCUAGAACGGGUAGCACUAUUUCUCUAGAAGUUUUCUCAACUGUAUUAUUAAAACCCAUUAGUGUUAUGCAAUGCGGUAUUAUUUUAUCUUCGAGCCUCAUCUGUAUAAGGACUCGAGGAUGGAUAAUACACGCGCCGCUUUCGUUGUCCACCAUUAUUCUUUUCACAUUAGUAUCUGCAAUACGUAAAGUAAUAACUAGAGCAUCGUAGUGAGGGAAAGACAAACCGUCGGUAUCUGACUUAUCGAAGACGAUACUAUCUUCGAGGUCAUCAUACAGUUCAUGAGUGAUUGACCAUUUGAGUUUGUGUGUAGUGGUGAAUUUCACAUGGUUGAUUGUUGUCCCAUCACCUCCACUGAUGAUCAUUUGUAUGGUACGAGCGAGAGAGGGUGGUUUUGGAGGUCCCUGGGGUUGCUCGCAUCCGCGAACAAAGUUGGCUCGCCCUCAGUCGCUCAUCAGUUCUCUCAAGUGUCCCUGGUUUAGCAUUCUCACUACCUCCUGCUGCAGACCUAUGUAUUCCUUGGUUUUAUGACCCCGUUCCUGGUGAAAUUCGCAUAGGGCAUUUGAUUUCUGAGUACUUAGAUCGGACUUCAUCUUUUGCGGUCAUUGUACCUUCGUGUUGAGCUUUUCUAGCGCAUACACUAUUUCUGAAGGAGAAAUACAAAAAUGGUGAGCAGAUAAGAGCGGAGGCAUACCUCUUUCGUUUCGCGGUGUUGCGGUAUGCCGAGGAGGGCCAUCCAUAUGCUGCGGGGGAUGUGGGAUGGAUGUUCUGAUGUAGGGCUGAUGUCUCUCUCAACUGAGACGGGGGCCCAACUGAUCCCUUCGACCGUUAUUGCGAUGAUCCUUCCUUGUUUCUACUUGAGCUGACAUCAGCCGUUCGAUCGGGCUAUUGAGAUCAUCCUCGUCGGCCCUUACCUCAGCACAAUAGGCGUUGUGGAUUUCUGCCCAAGUGGUGGGAGGGUAUUUUAUGAGCCUGCUUACUAGCUUUCUGGUUGCUCUCGACCCGUUUCUUCUCAACCUGUUCUGGAAGGCCGCUACCGCCAUCCCUUCUGAUAUAUUUGGUAGGCUCAUUCUCACCUUAUUAAACCAGGCUAGGAAGUCCCUGAACCCCUCGCCAGGCGUCUGCCUAACGAUGAAUAUGUCAUUUACCCUAGCUUCCGCCUUUUUAUCCCCUGCAUGAGUGGUGACAAACUUGUCCGCCAUUUCUUCGAACAUUGCUAUUGACCGUGCUGGUAGUUGUGAGUACCAGGUUAGGGCUCCCCCGGUUAGGGUUUCGCCAAACUUUUUCAGUAGCAUUGAUGGAACUUAUUCUUUCGACAGAUUGUUGCCUUUUACCGCUGUGACGUAUAUGAUCUUCUGGGUAUGUAGUACCGUCGUAUUCAGGUACGGUGGCAUUUUGAAGGUUUUAGGAAUGGCAUGGGUGGUUGCUUCCUCAUUUUAUGGUUGCUCGAUGAAUCGACCAAUGUCCCAUUUUGGUAACAACUUUGGGGCACCUGGUAUCUUAUCGACCCUUUCUUGAUGCUCCUUCAUCUGGCCGUUGAGCACCCUAUUUUCGUUUUCCAUUUCUUCCAUUUUCUUUAGAAUGGCUACGAGUGUGUCACUACCUGCAUCAAUAGUGGUGUGAGUGUUACCCAUUCGAGGGGUUUUUGUUCAAGUAUGUUGUUCAGAGUGCUUGUUAGCCAUUCUUCCAGUAGCCUUUUUAUCGCCGGUGGCGUUUCUUUCGUUAUUGACGUAGAGGUUUCCUUUUCGCGUGAAGCAGUAAUGCUUUCGCAGGGGGAGGUGAAGCAUUUCUCCUAGGCGUAAUGCUUGGCGUCACGUUUUCAUUGUCUUCCCUGUCAUCUUCAUUGAUGGUGUUCAAGAUGUUGGUAGUGACACCUGUUAUCGUUUUCAACCUCGCAUCUCCUUUCCCUGCCAUUGUUAGUUGGUCGAAGAAGAUGUAUUUUUUUAUGAUCUAGAAAGAACUAUAGUUUCAACUGAAAAACUCCCCACAUACGGUGCCAAAUUAUUUGUGCACAUAAAUGCCAAACUAAUUAGUGAUAAAUUAAUAUGAGGAAUCUCAGUUGAAUUUAAUAAUCUCUAAAUCAAAGGGAACUAAACUUUUGUAUGAUGAGUAGAGUUUAUAAGCAUUAAAUAGUGAACUUAAUAUGCUAUGAUUGACAAGAUGUGUAAUAUCAUAAAAGUGUAAUAAAAGCAAGAAAUAACAAGGAUUGUAGUAUAGAAGAGUAGUCACCCAAUGAUUAUAUGAUUGGGUGUUUCCUUUUUCUGACGACGUAGAAAGGAAAGCGGUCAAUAUCUAUAUGGGAUCAUGAUAUUUAUAGAUAAAUGAUGAACAACAUGUGUAUGGAUGAAAUGAAUAAGACAACUUUUUCGUAUGUUCUUUUCUCAAUCUUACAAUAUCUCUCAGUUCUCGAAAAUGGCCGGUCCCCUUCUUGUUUAUUAUCUCCUCCUAUUUAUAAGGGACAUUCCCCAAAAAACCUUAAAAGGUACAGCACAAAGAAUAUUCCAAAGGUAUAUUCUUCCUGUUUCUUUCUAAGUUUAGACUACCGAAACUACUUCAUUUCAUCCACUUGCCUCUGGUCGUCAUCCUUUACCACAACGACUGUCAGUCAAUAUAUUGUAGUGACUCCGUCCCAAGCCUCGCUUAUCCGUUGUCGUGGUUGCCAAAUUUGGACCAAUAUAGGGAAAGCCAUGUUUAGAUUAGAGAACAAUUGAAGAGAGCACAAUCUUAACUCUAGGGGGGGAUUGUGGUUAGGAUAGAAAUAUAUCUAGUCACCAUGCUCAAUUAACUAUCAUAAUCUUAAUGCAUUCUUAAUAGAUUGAUUUCAUUGGAAUAUAGGCGUUAAUUUAUUUUGAAUAGGCGAGUAGUACUUCGGGAAAAGGUUAUGAACAAUUGUCACACCUCCUUUUUCCUACACCUCCGUAAGGAGUAUAAAGGGAGUUUUUUCCAACUUAAAGUGACAAUCGAAACGAGAUUAUUCAUUUAUUAAACUCAGAGUCGCCACUUGGGAUAAUUUAUGGUGUCCCAAGUCACCGGUUCAAAUCCCGAAUCGAGGAAAAGAUUGACUCUGUAUUACAGUCUGCAAACACAGAAAUCCGGGCAAGGAAUUAUGUUAACCUGGGAGAAGGUGUUAGGCAUUCCCGAGUUCCGUGGUUCUAGCACGGUCGCUCAAAUGUUAUAAUUGGCCUAUUAUCUGAUUUUAAUACAUGUUUUAGCCUAUGGUGUUAUUUUAACUUAUUAACCGCUCUUAUUCAUUUUUAGGAAGACUGCAACGUCAUUUAAAAUAUGUCUUGAACCACGUCACAUAAAUGCACCCGUAGUCCUCAACACAUUUUAUAUAACAUUGACGAGAUGGAUUUGGGUCACAUAACUGCGCACCCGAUUUUAGGAAGGUAAAUUAUUAAAUAGCGCACCUAAAGCAACUAUGAUGUAUUCAUUUCCUGAACUAAUCUAUUGUAGAGGUCAUGAUUUAAGGAUUGAAUUAGAGUACGCCAACUCUUUUUACAUUGUAACCAGACUAAGAAAUUUCACCACUUUUAUCUAUUUUUUUUAAUCCUUUAGCGAAUGAUGUUGUAUCUACUAUCUAUUGUAUUUACAUUUUAAUUUCACACCAAAAAGCUAAAAGACAAACAUAUGUGUGCUAUAAAAUAUGUACUUUGCUGUCAAAGCAUAAGUUCCAUUUUUUCCAUAUAACCCAUCUUAUAUUAUCUCAAAUAAAUAGCAACAAUAAUAAGUGAAACAGAAUAUAAGAAUGAAAAUAAAAUUAAUUUUAAGGUGAAAUAGAGGUAAAUAAAAAUCACAUAUAAGACAAAUCACAAACAUUAUUAAUAAAUCAUUUUAAAAGAGAGGACAGAAACAUUCGCAUUUUUGGAUUCAUGAUUUUUGACGCCAAAGUUUAUAAAUUCAAGCUAACCUUACCUGCCAAAUCAUUUUUCAUUAAGCUCACGCCUAAUUUUCAACCUCUGUCAGUGGAUACCAUUCCAAUCCUCUUUAACAAAAUUUAAAUUGCUUUGUUUCAUUUAACAAGUAAAUAGUAGCAUAGUUUCAUAUAGUCACUAAACACAAUAUAGGCAUGAAAGGCAGUAGCAAUGAAGAUAGACGGAACAAAACAUAAACAUGAAGAAUGAAUUAUCUACUAACUCAAACCACAAACAAGGUAAGAAAACAGAGGAUUCAUGACAAUAAAUAAGAAUGAAAGUAGAGAAGGAACAGAAAUGACGGACCUUUUAUAUACAUGGAAAUUUAUUGACUACAAAGAUGUGAGCUCGACGAGAGAACUCAAACGAAACCAAACCAGGCACGGAGAACUCUCCGGCGACCUUGAACAAGGAUCUGGACAAAUAUUAUAGCGACUCGACUAGAUUCUGACAGCUAUUUCGAGUGUAAAGGAGUCGGUUCGAUGGAUGUUUGUGGCUGGUUUUAGACGGCAUUUCGUUGGAUCUCUGGUGCUGAUUUUGGGACAGCUUUUCUGGGAUUUUCGGACUGGUUUUUCAGCAAUUUUGCAGCUGGUUUGGCUGCUCUUUGGAGCUAUUUUGCGGACAGUUUUUGGGGCUAGUUUGGAUGACGUUUUUAGGGUUGAAUUUCAGCUUGGUUUAGGGCUCUUUUCGUGGUAGUUUCAGGUGUUUCAUGGGUGUUUGAGCUGAAGUUUUUGAGGUUGAAAAGCUAUGGAUGAAGCUGGUUUUUGGGUGAAGCAACAUCGGGUUUCAUCUACGUUUUUUUUUUAUGCUUUUGGCUGCUUCUUGUUACUGAUUUUAGAGGAUCCUGUGGUUACUUUUGUCAUGAGAAGGGCUGGCCUUACAUGGCUAUGAAAAUUUGAUGGAAAAAGAGAAUGAAGUUUCCACCAGGAAGAAGAAGCAAAGAAUGGCCGAUGCUCCUCUUCGAUCCAAUUGCUGCUGUCGUUUUUUAGUCUAUAUCUAGGUCCUCAAAACGGCGGAUCUCAUUUUUUUUAGGGUUCCCCUAUUUUAGGUGUUAGGUACUAUUAUAUAAGGGUAGGGAUUAAGUUAGGGGUAUGAGCCUAGGAUUUGUGGGCUUGGAAAUUAUGGACUAGGUCCAAAAGUUAGGCCUAAACAAAUGGGUUGCUCGAACCCAAGUUUUAUUCUUUCUACGCGAAUGGGGCUAAAAUACCACCUCAUUUAUUAAUUA